rnacentral:misc_RNA from 1 species
AAGUCGUAACAAGGUUUCCGUAGGUGAACCUGCGGAAGGAUCAUUAUCGAGUUUUGAACGGGUUGUAGCUGGCCUCUCACGAGGCAUGUGCACGCCUGGCUCAUCCACUCUUAACCUCUGUGCACUUUAUGUAAGAGAAAAAAUGGUGGAAGCUUCCAGGAUCUCGCGAGAGGUCUUCGGUUGAACAAGCCGUUUUUCUUUCUUAUGUUUUACUACAAACGCUUCAGUUAUAGAAUGUCAACUGUGUAUAACACAUUUAUAUACAACUUUCAGCAACGGAUCUCUUGGUUCUC